ensembl:misc_RNA Metazoa_SRP Metazoan signal recognition particle RNA
GCCAGGCAUGGUGGCUCAUGCCUGUAAUCUCAGCACUUUGGGAGGCCGAGGUGGGUGGAUCACCUGAGGUCAGGAGUUCCAGACCAGCCUGACCAACAUGGUGAAACCCCAUCUCUA